rnacentral:tRNA from 1 species
GCCUGGGUGGCUCAAUCGGUUGAGCAUCUGACUGGUUCAGGUCACAAUCUCAUGGUUCGUGGGUUUAAACCCCACAUCGGGCU